rnacentral:piRNA from 1 species
UGAUUAGGGUCCUGAUAUUUGUAGGCAUGU